GGCAGAAGCGCCUGGUUUUGUACCGGGAAGAGCUUCUUCCAUUCCAAAGAACAUUGCCGUCGUCCUCAUGUCCCUUCAUCCUGGAGAAUUUGCCGCGUUCGUGUGGCAAAUGAAGCCGCCUUUGGGCAGCACGGGCUUGCCCGCCGAGGCCGAGAGGUCGCAGGUGGGGCCGGUAGCUCAGGUGGUUAGAGCGUACGCCUGAUAAGCGUAAGGUCGGAGGUUCGAGUCCUCCUCGGCCCACCAUAUGGACGCGCUGUUUGGACCGUGAUGCAAGUCAUCGGUUCAGGCGAUCAUGGUUGGGGGCCUUAGCUCAGCUGGGAGAGCACCUGCUUUGCAAGCAGGGGGUCAUCGGUUCGAUCCCGAUAGGCUCCACCAUUUCGAACUCCAGAGAUGAAGACAACAUAUUCCGCCGUGCCUUUGGGCAUGGGUGGUGUGCAGACCGGAGAAGGUCUGUUCUUUGACAUUGUGAAUGGGUUUUUUAAUCGAUGCCGUGGUUGCAUCGUGUCGAUCUCGCAAGGGAGCGGUGCGUUGCCAAUCACACAUUCAUUUCAAAUGACUAUUUGGCAUUUCAAAAUGAAUAUCUGGCUGAGAAUAAUCAUCCACACCGAACAAGCCGUGGCAGCAUGCCGAGAGGUUUGGGGAGUGGUUGCGUAGUGACAAGACUGCGCAUCCUUGCUUCCAUGCCAGUGCUGACA
rnacentral:tRNA from 1 species